rnacentral:rRNA from 1 species
GCUUAACCGGAGAAGUGCGUCGGAAACUGGGAGACUUGAGUGCAGAAGAGGACAGUGGAACUCCAUGUGUAGCGGUGGAAUGCGUAGAUAUAUGGAAGAACACCAGUGGCGAAGGCGGCUGUCUAGUCUGUAACUGACGCUGAGGCUCGAAAGCAUGGGUAGCGAACAGGAUUAGAUACCCUGGUAGUCCAUGCCGUAAACGAUGAGUGCUAAGUGUUGGAGGGUUUCCGCCCUUCAGUGCUGCAGCUAACGCAUUAAGCACUCCGCCUGGGGAGUACGACCGCAAGGUUGAAACUCAAAGGAAUUGACGGGGGCCCGCACAAGCGGUGGAGCAUGUGGUUUAAUUCGAAGCUACGCGAAGAACCUUACCAGGUCUUGACAUCUUCUGCCAAUCUUAGAGAUAAGACGUUCCCUUCGGGGACAGAAUGACAGGUGGUGCAUGGUUGUCGUCAGCUCGUGUCGUGAGAUGUUGGGUUAAGUCCCGCAACGAGCGCAACCCUUAUUAUCAGUUGCCAGCAUUCAGUUGGGCACUCUGGUGAGACUGCCGGUGACAAACCGGAGGAAGGUGGGGAUGACGUCAAAUCAUCAUGCCCCUUAUGACCUGGGGCUACACACGUGCUACAAUGGACGGUACAACG